rnacentral:rRNA from 1 species
UACGUAGGGACCAAGCGUUGUUCGGAUUUACUGGGCGUAAAGGGCGCGUAGGCGGCGCCGCAAGUCACUUGUGAAAUCUCCGGGCUUAACUCGGAACGGCCAAGUGAAACUGCGGUGCUAGAGUGCAGAAGGGGCAAUCGGAAUUCUUGGUGUAGCGGUGAAAUGCGUAGAUAUCAAGAGGAACACCUGAGGUGAAGACGGGUUGCUGGGCUGACACUGACGCUGAUGCGCGAAAGCCAGGGGAGCAAACGGG